rnacentral:tRNA from 1 species
GCCUGGGUAGCUCAGUCGGUAGAGCAAAGGAUUGAAAAUCCUUGUGUCGGGGGUUCGAUUCCCUUCCCAGGCACCA